UUGGAGGGCAAGUCUGGUGCCAGCAGCCGCGGUAAUUCCAGCUCCAAUAGCGUAUAUUAAAGUUGUUGCGGUUAAAAAGCUCGUAGUUGAAUUUCGGGAUCGACGGGUCGGUCGCGCCUCUGGUGUGUACUGGCCCUGUCGGUUUCUCCCUUCUGACGAACCACGAUGUCAUUAAUUUGGUGUCGUGGGAAAUCAGGACUGUUACUUUGAAAAAAUUAGAGUGUUUAAAGCAGGC
rnacentral:rRNA from 1 species